UCCAAGGUUUUUUUUAAAACCACCUCUAAGUAAUCUCAUUUUAUAU
rfam:Nestor notabilis contig75308, whole genome shotgun sequence.